rnacentral:lncRNA from 1 species
GAUAUAAGAUUGGAACUAAUCCAACUUAUGAUCACUCAAUGAUCAAGAGAUUCCAAGCUUAAUCCCGCGGAAGGAUGGAAACGACGUGGAGAUAGAAUGAUUGACUCGCUUUAAUCAAUGGGUUAAUCGUCUCACUCGAUCAAUGAACGAAAGAAGGUUGUUGAACUUAUCAACAAUCUUGAUCCGCAGAUUCAAAUAGGCCUAAGAGACUCACUCACUUAAGACUAAUGAAUAAACGACAAAGACUCAAACUUUGACAAGAAGAAAAUGUUCUUAUUACUUUAAUAUGAUCAAGGGUGAAUAAAAAUGUUACAAGUGACAUGAGCUUUAUAGGCUCGACCUCUAGGCAUUUCUAACAGUCUAAUAAUUCAAAAAGGAAAGAAAAUACACGAUCAAAUGAAUGAGAAAUAUCAAAGGGAUUGUCUUUGAUAUAAUGUAGCCGUUAGGCUUGAAUGCUUGGUCCAAAAAGGGAAACUCGUGGGCUUUUAUAUCUUGAAAGCUUCUGGAUGAUUCCAUGGCUUAUUAAUCUUCUAAUAACUCCCUUAAGUCGCACCAAAUCAGAAGAUAGCCGUUGGGGUUGGGCUUUGAAUGCUCUCGGGUCCAUAUAUGGUAACUCUUGGUGUAUGAUUAGGCAAGAUUGAAUCCACUUAAUACAAUGGCUGAGAAUGAAGCUUGAGGUGAUAUUAGGAGCCUCUAGUUGUAUUAGAAACUCUCCUGGACGCCAAAGUUUGGUUUGCAAGUGACUAAACCCGUCAGCUUCCAAAUAAGGCAAGCCGAGAAUCAUCUGGUUUGGAAAAUUAAUAUCUCCUAAACCAAAAUCGGUUUUGACUUGAUUCCAACUCGAAGAGCUCCUAUGAUGAGUCAAGAAUGCAGAAACAUUCACUUCGUAGCUUAAAUCUUUCUUUUCGGGUCGGAAUCCUCCAAUUACUCCGUAUAUGUCCAAAUCGGGUAAGCUGGGAAUCACCCGACUUGUAAAUGGAAUAACUCCUUCGUGUGAACUCUUUUUUGGCUGAUUCUUCUUCGAGGUGCUCGGUAUUUGAGCUGAGAAUGCAUUCCAAGUGUUCGCUGGGCAGGAUGAAUUGAUCUUGGACUUCGUCUGGACUGAACAAGGCUCAGGGGUCUUCUCGGGUAGGCUGAAUUGGCUUUGGCCUGAAGUUUUGGAUAAAACUUGGUUAAAAAUCCCACUUGGCUGCUCCUGGGUUGUUGCUUCUCGCCCAUAAUCUUCUCCAUGGUUGGUUCUUGGGUUGAUGACCGCAUCAUACCCUCCCUCUUCAAGAAGUUUUGUCCUCAAAACUUGAUCUCCUACACAUAGAUAAGUCAAGUUAGUCCAUUGAAGUAUAUGAGGGUGUAGAAGCUUACCUCGGAUCGGUUCAAGUGGUUUUUCAUCGGGUGGCUUCUCCUUGAUCUGAACGGUUUCAUUGAAAUUAUCAUCCCCAUUGGCAGCUCGUUUGAUAAGUAAAGGCGUGUACUCUUCACGAUUUUUGUUUUGGUCCAUGAAUUCCUUACUUUUCAAUGAAUCGCCUUUGUGGUCAUCCUUUGUACCUGUAAUAACUUCAACACUUUUGACAAGAGACAAGUGUGUUAAAACAGUCAUGGAAGCAUGUAAAUCGAAUUGACAAUUUUUGAAUUGCUCCUUUUCACUUCUCGGAAUUGAAACAAUUUCUUGUUUCACCUCAGCAUCUAAAGACUCUUGUUCAACAUUGGACUUAGGUAAUUGCAGCACAUAUUCAAAGUUCUUAUCCAAUUUAAGAAAAGUAUCACUAUAACUUACAGUGAGAGAUUCCGUGAUAGGUUUGGCAUUUACUUGUGGCUCACGGUUCAGACUUGGUGUGACUGGUUUUGUUUUUGCUUCAUCUCUCAUUGUGGGACAUAAAUUUGCUGUGUGUCCUUUCUUUCUGCACCUAUAACAAGUUAGUCUUUUGAAAUCUUUAGGUACAAGAAACUUACCUUGAUUUCCAAUCAUAUUGGAGUUUGUUUCUUGCUUUAGAGUAGGUGUUUUGCCCUGUUGAAUCGUAAUGACAGAUUGAUGUGGUGCUUGUGAAUCUAAAUCACAACAUGUAGUCUCUUGGCUUAUCAACACAGCCGUUUUCUCCAUAGUACGACUUGAACCUGCAUCAACACCUUUUGGCAAAGACAAGUGUGAUAUGACAGAAUUGGGAGUUUUAAUUUUUGGUGUCAACAUAUCAAUUAAUUUGGAAAACAUCUCGUCUAUACUUUGUGACGUUUUAUCUACUUGUUUUGGAGGGCAAUUGGCAGCAAAAUGUCCUCUCUUAUGACAUUUAUAGCAGGUAGGAUUUUUCAAGACUGAGUUAGAGGACUUACCUCGAUUCACUUUUCCUUGUAGUUCAUGUAAGAGUGUUCCGGGUGAAUCUUGUUGAACCUCUUUUACUUGAACAAACUGCUCAGCCUUUAUUGGAGUCUCCCGGGUGCAUGAAGACGCUCUCCUUGGCUCAUGGUUGUGUGCAUUCAUUGGCUGAAAGAUAGGCUGCAGUUUUGGUGUAGUCACCACUUUCUUUGGCGUUUCCAUGUAUAAGGGCUUGGUGGUGCGAAUACGGGGCUGGUACUUCUUUGUAAACUCUCUAUACAUUCUGGAUUUGAGAGUUCCCCAAUCAAGAACAGCUUUGGUAGUGUAGUAAGUAGCAGCAUCCUCUCUUAACCACCAUUCAUAUGCAUCUCCUUUAAGUUUACUAAGGGCAUAGUACAGCUUUUCUUCUUUAGGUAUGUUGUUUGAGCGCAACCACUGCUUCAUGUUGGUCUCCCAUCUCAAAUACACCUCAGGGUCUUUACUGGUUCCUGUAAAGAUUAAGGAAUUAGAUGUGUAAUCACACACCUUGUUAGAUCGCUUCUUUGGGCUGGCUGAUGAGGUGCGAGUAUGCACUUGGUAUGAGGCAACUCCGUGGUGGCUAGAAUUCUCUUUGCGCUUGGGAGAACGGUACUGGUAUCCUACAUAAGAAUCUCCUUCACGUUCAUACUCAUCUUCAUAAACAUAAGGAUUCGGUUGAAUCCAAGUUGUUGUUGCGGUUUGAGGCUCGGUAUGGUGCUGGCUUGUAGGGAAACGGUCUGGUGGCUCUGGUUCAUGCUCUUCACCUCCUGGUUCUUCCUCAUACUCAGAGCUGGCGUAGUCAUCUCCAUACCAUGGUUGAACUCCAUAGUCACCAUCUUCUCCAACUAGGUUUUGGUCUCCUCCAUGGCUUGAAUCGGAUUCAUAAGAGUAAAAGUUUUCCUUUGCCAUAUAAUAGGACGUCAUGACUCUCUUUUUCUCCUAGGAAUAUCUCGUAACACAAGACAGAAGAAGAGGAAUCAAAACGUAAUCAAUUGAAGGAGAAAAAAGAAUUUUGCAAAUAACAAAAAUAAGGAAACAAUGAAAAGGGAAUAUUCUUAUUUUCUUUUUCUUUUUAAUUAUGACAACUCAAAUUGAAAACAGAAACAAUAAUAUCAAAUUUUUAAUUUUUAUUUUCAGAGUUUAUAAAAAUAAAUUUCAGAAAUUAAUUAAAAAUAACAAAAUACGAAUUUUUUUUUUUGGCUUUUCUUUUGAUAAAACAAAAUAAACAGCAAAACUCAAAAAAAAAAAAAAAAAAAAAAAAGAUAAAGUGAAACGAAUUCACCUGGGUUAUAGGAGCUUUUAGCUCUGAUACCAAAUGAUAAAAGAUUGGAACUAAUCCAACUUAUGAUCACUCAAUGAUCAAGAGAUUCCAAGCUUAAUCCCGCGGAAGGAUGGAAACGACGUGGAGAUAGAAUGAUUGACUCGCUCAAUCAAUGGGUUAAUCGACUCACUCGAUCAAUGAACGAAAGAAGGUUGUUGAACUUAUCAACAAUCUUGAUCCGCAGAUUCAAAUAGGCCUAAGAGACUCACUCACUUAAGACUAAUGAAUAAACGACAAAGACUCAAACUUUGACAAGAAGAAAAUGUUCUUAUUACUUUAAUAUGAUCAAGGGUG